rnacentral:tRNA from 1 species
GCCGGCCGGUACGGCGUGGGCCUGGGCGGCCUGCCACGCCGCCACCGCGUUGGUGUGGACCGUGCGCCACUCGGCCGGCCCC